AUUGAACGCUGGCGGCAUGCUUUACACAUGCAAGUCGAACGGCAGCACGGGAGCAAUCCUGAUGGCGAGUGGCGAACGGGUGAGUAAAGUAUCGGAACGUGCCCAGUCGGGGGGGAUAACGUAGCGAAAGAUACGCUAAUACCGCAUACGAGCUACGGAUGAAAGCGGGGGAUCGCAAGACCUCGCGCGAUUGGAGCGGCCGAUAUCCGAUUAGGUAGUUGGUGGGGUAAAGGCCCACCAAGCCGACGAUCUGUAGCUGGUCUGAGACGACGACCAGCCACACUGGGAAUGAGACACGGCCCAGACUCCUGCGGGAGGCAGCAGUGGGGAAUUUUGGACAAUGGGCGAAAGCCUGAUCCAGCCAUGCCGCGUGCAGGAUGAAGGCAUUCCGGUUGUAAACUGCUUUUGUACGGAACGAAAAGGACUGCCCUAAUACGGUGGUCCCAUGACGGUACCGUAAGAAUAAGCACCGGCUAACUACGUGCCAGCAGCCGCAGUAA
rnacentral:rRNA from 1 species